GAUGAACGCUGGCGGCAGGCCUAACACAUGCAAGUCGAGCGCCCUCGCGAGGGGGAGCGGCGGACGGGUGAGUAACGCGUGGGAACGUGCCUCUUGCUUCGGAAUAGCCUCGGGAAACUGGGGGUAAUACCGAAUGUGCCCUACGGGGGAAAGAUUUAUCGGCAAGAGAUCGGCCCGCGUUGGAUUAGGUAGUUGGUGGGGUAAUGGCCUACCAAGCCGACGAUCCAUAGCUGGUUUGAGAGGAUGAUCAGCCACACUGGGACUGAGACACGGCCCAGACUCCUACGGGAGGCAGCAGUGGGGAAUCUUAGACAAUGGGCGCAAGCCUGAUCUAGCCAUGCCGCGUGAGCGAUGAAGGCCUUAGGGUUGUAAAGCUCUUUCGUGGGGGAAGAUAAUGACUGUACCCCAAGAAGAAGCCCCGGCUAACUCCGUGCCAGCCGCCGCCGUAA
rnacentral:rRNA from 1 species